UACGUAGGGUGCAAGCGUUGUCCGGAUUUAUUGGGUUUAAAGGGUGCGCAGGCGGCUGGGUGUGUCAGAUGUGAAAUCCCGAGGCUCAACCUCGGAACUGCGUCUGAAACUACUCGGCUAGAGUAUUGGAGAGGGUAACGGAAUUCACGGUGUAGCAGUGAAAUGCGUAGAUAUCGUGAGGAACACCAGAGGCGAAGGCGGUUACCUGGACAAUUACUGACGCUCAGGCACGAAAGCGUGGGGAGCAAAAGGG
rnacentral:rRNA from 1 species